GAGGGUGAAAAAUGAAAUUAAAAUUUAAAGUUUAUAAAAUUUCAAGAAUUGCAAAAGACCCCAACAAUAAGCUUUGUACGAAAGCAAACUCAGUGCUCCAAAAUGGAGAUAGGUUUAACCGAGUUGAUGACUCAGUGCUCCAAGUCGAACACACUCUCAUCCACGUGCUUCUCCAACGCUGCACCAGGUAAUUGCUAACUGGAGCGUAUAUUUUCUCUUCCCCUAUGAACUCUGUAUUCUUACCUUUUUGUGAACGUGAUAUUGUCUUGUCGACCAAUGACUGUUCAAAUAUGUCUAUUUAUGGAGGGAAGGAUUCAGGAUUGUCAAUCUUAUGUCAUGGAAGUUAGCUAGGACUUGAGAAUACUACAAAUCAGUUUGAUAGGAGCAAAAGAUGGUGGUGGAAAAUUCACGAACAAGUAUUAUUUGUAUUUAUUUUCUGAAAUUUGAUCAAUUAAAGUUUCACCUCCAUGCCAAACUAAUCCUAUAAUGUAUCCACUAGAUCAAUACAUAUACUCUUUGAUACGUAACCAAUACUUGUUUGUGAAGUAUCCAAUCAUUUUUCCAACACAAUUCUCUAACUUUAUAGUGCUGGGACACCAAUGGUACAACAUUAUUCGACACCAAUGAUACAACAUUAUUUGACACUGAUACUCUUUGAUGCUUUUCUGAUACUUGUGUAGUAUACAAGUCAUUUUUUUAAGUUGUCUAAUUUUUAUACAGUUGGGAUACUCUUUUAGGUGUCAGCUUAGUGGUUAGAGCUUGACAUUGUAACCUCAAGGGACAAAGUUCAAAUCUUGUAUGGGACGGUUGUAAAAUAACUAUUAGUGCCACCGUUAUUAAUAAUAAUUUCCCCUUUCCCAAUUA